rnacentral:rRNA from 1 species
GCAGGGUGGCCACCCUGUAAUCAGCACAAAUUAGAAUGUGGGCAACUCGGCAGUCGUUGCGCAGGCACUUUAGAGAACCUCGGGCCAAUCGCAUGUCCCCGUGACAGCGACGACGCAUUCGGAUGUCUGCCCUAUCAACUUUCGAUGGUACUUUCUGCGCCUACCAUGGUGACCACGGGUAACAGGGAAUCAGGGUUCGAUUCCGGAGAGGGAGUCUGAGAAACGGCUACCACAUCCAAGGAAGGCAGCAGGCGUGCAAAUUACCCACUCCCGACGCGGGGAGGUAGUGAC